CUUUACCACUAGCGCCACCUGGGGAGCUCGGCAGAUGGAUAGGCACGAGGCAAUCAGGUAGAGAAGAGCGAGGACCUGCGGGUUAAAAGCCCCACCAAGGGAGCUAGUGUCCACAUGCAGACUGCAAGGCCAGAGGGCUGAAGAACAAGAGUCGAGGUCUUCUGCUGAGAGAGAAAAGGAGGAAUGGUUGGAGUGGGAAGCACCAUCAGAGAUCUUAGGAGACUAAAGGAUUUCUGAAACAACCCUUGAGAAGACUGGGGAAGGGAUUUGAUCAGGGGCACCCAAGGGAACUGCCAGGCAGCUUCGAGGACUUGUUUUAGGUUGGCAGAUGUGAGUUCAGGCCCUUGGGCUAGGUUCACAUAGCCUAGUUGUUUUACAGGAAUAUAGAGUUAGCUCUUGUCCAGUGCCAACUGGCUAAGGCUGGAUGGGACCACUGACCCUAAAACUGGGCCUGUGUAGGUGCCUGAUGAAUGGCCUUUUGACAUCAGAGGAUUGGGAAACUCCAUCCUAAGAUCCUGCUAAGUGCCUUCAUUUUUGGAUGUGCAGAACUCCAAGAGGCUGCCUGCUUUUCUUGGUGCACAGCCCCUUCUUCGAUCUUCAAAACCAGGAGUGAUUGGUGGAAUUGUCAUCUUGCUACAUCCCUCAGACAUUCCUCUAUCUGGACAAAAUCUCCCUCUGUCACCUUUGUGAUUACAUUGGGUCCAUCUGGAUAAUCCAGGCUGAUGAAGGUCCCCAAGUCAAGACCCUUAAUUUGAUGACAUCUGCCAAGUCUGUUUCACCAUGUAAGGUUGGGCACACUCUCCUUAUUAGGAAUCACUAUUCAUCAAGUUACACUGAUGUAACCGGAAAGAAAAAUCAGGGUGGCUAUUUCCAUGAUCGAGGUAAUCUGGAGUUGUUUCCAGUUCUCUGCUGUUGUGCAGAAAGGUGGUGCUGCGGCUCCUUAGCAGUCUGGGCCCGGGUCCUUCCUUGUGAAUUGCAGUCCAGGCCGCUGGAAACUGCUGAGUCAGAGGCGCGCGCACGUGUGAAUCAUGAGCGCCGGCGCCUGGUGAGUCCCAGAGUUCCGCACACCCGCUGACAUCACCUGUUGGUCUUCAGGCCGCGGGGCGGCGGGGGACCAGACCCUCGCGCGGAGCGGGCCCCAGGGACCUGACUGCCGGUGGCGGCUGCAGAAAGGCCUGGGCGGGGCAGCCGGGGGCCUUUGUGCGCACCAGACACCAGAUGGGACGCGAGGAGGGGAGGGACCUGCGAGCAGGUCAGAUGGCAGGCUUUCCACAGACCUGCUGCUGCUGCUGCAUCGGGAACAAGCAUUUUGGCG